GCAGAUGGCCUCAGACUUUGUAUAGGGGGGAGUUCUUACCAUACUAUAACUAUAUUUAAGAUUAAACUAUAUUUAAGUACAACUAUAUUUAAGAUUAAUAUUUCAAAUGUACUGAAGAAGUCUCAUUAAAGCAUAGAAAUUUCACUGAAGUUAAUUUAGCUAUAAAUUUUUAUAGCGUAAGGAUCAAGGGGAUUGUAUAUUUACAUCACUCAUUUUUUUGCACUUUUUAAAUCAGUUUUUUCUAACUAAUGCAUAACUCAGAAAUCUUUUGAAGAAAUUAAUGUAAAAUUGGAUAAAAUGAUCAUGACUGCAAAUUUGUAUGUAUAUCUUUCGCUGUCACCCAGCAGAAGUUAUUGUUCUAUUAACCACCAAUUAUUGUUCUUUCACAAGUACGCAAUUUAUUCCAAGACCUAAACAACAAAAACAUAUUUUUAUGGGGAAAAAAUCUUCACACUAAUUAGAUUCUGAUAUGGAUAGUAAUUGAAAAGUCACAUACAUACCUUAAAAUUUUAUUUCUGAAGGAUAAAAAGUAAAUUUUCUAUUAUUAGCUGCAAUUAUAAUGUUGUUUAGGUGUUUCCAAAUUGGCAAACUUUUCCUCACUAGAGUAAAGGUAUGUAUGCUGACAAACUCCCUAAUGCUUUUUACCUUGAAAUUAAGUAGUGAUCUUACUGCAUGUAGUUAUUUCUUUUUAUGGAUUUUAUAUUAUUUUCUGCAAUAAUUAGAUCGUAAAACAAUGUAAUUUCAAUAAAUUUAAAAAAAAACUACCUGCAAAAGAGAAAAGAAAUUAAAUAGUGGUUGUAGCUUGUAAGACAAUGAGUUGAUGUAAUCUCAGUUAAUUUUACAUGUAUUAUGUUCAGUUCAUAUUGGAAUUUAUUGUAAAAUGCAUUGCUGAAUAAAAACAAUAAAAUGUAUUGUUUUUAAUAAAAACAGAUGAGAAGCCUGCAGUUUAUUUGAUGUUAUUAUUUUACAAAGACAACUGACUUCUCAUCUGCUUUCAUUAAAACAUCUACAAGAAAUUCUUCCCACACAUUUUAAGAUAAAUGUUGCAUAGAAUGAACAUUAUAUCUGGAAAAUUAACUGAGACUAUAUCUCCAUAGUUACGUCCAAUAACUCAUUUCUAAAUUUUUCUAUCAGAAUCAUAGAAUUUUUUUAAAUUACUUUAUUUCAUACUUUUUUGUGUUGGAAUUCAUUAAGUCUGACAAAAAAAUUGGAGCCUUAUAUAUUUUUUCCUGAUAUUUUCUCCUCUUUGUAAAUUUUGUUGGUUUGACUUUAAACCACAAUUAGAGGUUACAAUAUUUGCAUCGCGUAUGUCUAGGGAGAAAAAGCUUUUAUAGACCUGUUUAUCUAGUCUGUUAUUAACAGGGUAGAUAGAUAGAAAGCCAGUUCCCUAUUGCAGAUGGACAACUACCUGUUAAAGAAAUGUGAGAAGAAAAAAAGAACUGAAGAUAUCUAAUUUUAGCUGCAGCAAAAUUAUCAUUCAGAGAUAGAUAGAAAGCCAGUUCAAUAUUGCUGAUGGACAACUAACUGUGAAAGAAAUGAUGUGAGAAAAAAAAAGAACUGAAGAUAUUUAAUUUUAGCUGCAGCAAAAUUAUCAUUCAGAGCUAGUUUCAAAACCACCACCCACAAUGAAGCUUACAGGUAGAUUUUUCUAAACUGUUGCAUGCUUUGAUCUUUGAUUGAUAAACUUUAAGAAAUGGUGUAGUAAGGAAAUACACAGGGGUAAGAGUUUUGUACUCAGUAUGUGUUUGAAGCCUGGCAUUAACAAGCUCUACUACACAAAAAGGAUCACUUUUUCCACACAAAUCUGCAGCUGCCAGCCCUUGUGCUUUGAACACUG